CCAGUAUACCUUUGAUCCAUAAUGCUUGACAUCCAGUUAGUGAUAGUGCCAUAUAUUCAGCUUCUGUGGAAGAUAAUGCUACCACCUUUUGUUUCUUUGAUUGCCAAGAUAUAGGACCAGACCCCAAAUGAAAAAUAUAUCCCGAGCUUCCCAGUGACUUUUCUUUGGACAUUCCAUGAACCUACUUAACUUGCUUACUGCAAACAUAAUAUAUGGUCUAGUGUUGGUGAGAUACAUUAAGCUUCCGACUAAA
rnacentral:lncRNA from 1 species